UGAACAGGGCACACACCGGUCUGUUCAGCUUCAGAUCCCAUCUCAGGUAACACACGUGAACAGGGUACACACCGGUCUGCUCAGCUUCAGAUCCCAUCUCAGGUAACACACGUGAUCAGGGCGCACACCGGUCUGCUCAGCUUCAGAUCCCAUCUCAGGUGACACACGUGAUCAGGGCACACACCGGUCUGCUCAGCUUCAGAUCCCAUCUCAGGUAACACACGUGAACAGGGCACACACCGGUCUGCUCAGCUUCAGAUCCCAUCUCAGGUAACACACGUGAACAGGGCGCACACCGGUCUGCUCAGCUUCAGAUCCCAUCUCAGGUAACACACGUGAUCAGGGCGCACACCGGUCUGCUCAGCUUCAGAUCCCAUCUCAGGUAACACACGUGAUCAGGGCACACACCGGUCUGCUCAGCUUCAGAUCCCAUCUCAGGUAACACGUGUGAACAGGGUACACACCGGUCUGCUCAGCUUCAGAUCCCAU